rnacentral:rRNA from 1 species
UACGAAGGGGGCUAGCGUUGUUCGGAAUUACUGGGCGUAAAGGGCGUGUAGGCGGUCUAAUCAGUCAGAGGUGAAAGCCCUGGGCUCAACCUAGGAAUUGCCUUUGAUACUGUUAGACUAGAGUUCGGGAGAGGAUAGUGGAAUUCCCAGUGUAGAGGUGAAAUUCGUAGAUAUUGGGAAGAACACCAGUGGCGAAGGCGGCUAUCUGGACCGAUACUGACGCUGAGGCGCGAAAGCGUGGGGAGCAAACAGG